CGCGUAGGCGGCUCUGUAAGUCUGGAGUGAAAGUCCUCUUUUCAAGGGAGGAAUUGCUUUGGAAACUAUAGAGCUUGAGUGCAGGAGAGGUUAUCGGAAUUCCCGGUGUAGCGGUGAAAUGCGUAGAUAUCGGGAGGAACAUCGGUGGCGAAGGCGGGUAACUGGACUGCAACUGACGCUGAGGCGCGAAAGUGUGGGGGAGCAAACAG
rnacentral:rRNA from 1 species